CGCCUGGAGGCAGGGGACAAGGAGAGGGGAGAGGCAAGUAUGGAGGGCAUGAGACAUCUUGAGGCCAGCCACAUUCUGUACCCCCUGCCUAAAGAGCCCUGGACCAGCACGGAAUGCCCCACAUCUGAUCUGCCCAAGUCUGACUGUGCUGCCUGGUGUCCCCCUAGCUGUUCCAGUGAUGGAUGGGCAGGGCUGGGGUGCCUACCUGAUGCCCCUCAUGGAAGGAGCCCCUGGAAGUACCCACUCAGGCCUGGGACACGGAGCAGAACAGAGAGCUGCGGUGGUCACGUGAGCGACUGCUGGAGUCGGCUGUUGUCAGCCUGCCAGCCCAGAGGAAGGCCAGCUGGACUCGGACCAGACAGGCUGGCUGUCCUGACCAGGAACCUCUGGAGGAGACACACUGGAUUCUUGCUCGCAGAUCCCAGGAGAACUACCCCACAGACCUUUGCAACUGUCUUGAAUCUAUAGGCUCCUCUGUGGAGUUCUGGAUCCAGCUCCAAAGUAAAUACUGGAACCAUCUUCCUUUCUUUUGGCUACUUCCGUAGCCACAGGAGUGUUCUAAGCAGAGGGAACAACAUGUAUGAAGGCUGGAGGUGGCCAAGGAAAGGGGACUGGCAGGGAAACAGUAGAAGAAACAAUGCUCCCAGGCCCUGGUGGUCAAAAAUGGCAGAGCUAAAUAGACACAGACGUGGUAUCUGACCAACCAGGCUCAGGCUCAGAGUAUUCCACUUACCUCUGUGUGGACUUGGACAUGUUACUUUCUCUCUCUGCUUCAGUGUCCUUAUCUCAAUGGGGUCAUAGCGAUACCCACCUGUGGAAGGGUUUCAUGAAAAUUAAAGUAGGACAAGUAACUGGCCUACAGUCUGAGUUCAUGAAACAGAUUCUGACCCAAGAUGUAUCAGCUGAGUGCCCACCAUGUGCCAAGCAAGGACUCCAUUUUUCAAUUAGUCCUCAGAACAACCUUGCUAUGCUCCAGCUUGCUAAUGAAGAAAUUGAGGGGCCAAAUGACUAUCCUGAGGUUUCGUAGGAAGGGCUGAGGCACCUUCCUCUGGCGCACACUGCCUUUCUGUGAAAGCGUCCGUUCCCACUGUUAAGACCUUAAUAACAACACUAAAAGUGAAUAUUACUAUAAGCAAUAUUUUUUAAACUAGCCCAGUACAUGACAGAAGGAAAUGAUAUCUCUCUCAGAAUGUACCUCAAAACCUAGGCCUCAAAUAAUUGCAAAAGACAGAGUGGUAAAACAACGUGAGCAGUAAAUUUAAUAAAAUAUGUAUGGGAUGUGUAUGCAGAAAACUAUAAAAUUCUGAAAAAGAGCUGAAAGAUCUUAAUAAAUGGAGAGGUAUUCUGUGUUCUUGGAUUAGAAGACUCAAUAUUGUUAAGAUGUCAGUUUUUUCCAAUGAGAUCUAUAGAUUCAAAUAACCACAAUGAAAACCCCAGUAAGCUAUUUGUGGAUAUUGACAAACUUACCCUAAAGCUUAUAUGGAGAGGCAAAAGGCCCAGAAUAAAAUGUUGAUUUUAAGUCACUUAUGGAAGGAAGUCUUUUGGAAGACUGGGUACAAAGUGAUAUGCUGUGGGAGAACCGUAUUUUGACCAGUUACUCAAGGACUCACAUCUUGAUUUUAACCUUAUAAAACUUAAAGAAUAAAUAAGAUGCUAACUAAUAAAUUAUUAUUUAAUAAAAACUUA